AAACAUUUCAGCUUUUCAAUUAAGCAAAUUAUUACUACAUGCUCCAGACAGUAGCAACAAGUCAAUUUCUUGCUUGAAAAUUUCACAGAAAAAAAAUAAAAUUGCACCAUUUGUUAAUUUACUCAUGCUUAGUUGAAACUUAUGCCUAUUAUAUUAAUCAUGAGUGCCCCCUACUCUGAUUUUGUGACUAUAUAUCACUUACAAAGUUAAUUAGCAGAUUAACUAUGUGAUUGCCAACAGCUCAAGAUGUGAUAGU
rnacentral:misc_RNA from 1 species